rfam:Salmo salar isolate Sally breed double haploid chromosome ssa10, whole genome shotgun sequence.
GGCUAAUUUGAAUGGGUGAGUCGCUCUGGAUAAGAGCGUCUGCUAAAUGACUUAAA